rnacentral:tRNA from 1 species
GCGGGUGUCGUAUAACGGCUAUUAUGCAACCUUGCCAAGGUUGAGAAGAGGGUUCAACUCCCUUCACCCGCUCCA